GUAAACUUAUGUUGAAACAUUUUUGAAAAAAAAAUAUUUAGGCACCCUAUUCAUUUUAAUUUAUUUAUUUCUCAUUUUUAUUUAUUUACCCUUAUGUAGAUUUUUCAAAACUGUGGAAUAUAACUUAGUUUUUUCUCUAUCGACUACCACUGUAGUACAAUUACAUCGGGAUCGAAGUCGGGCUCGAAAAGCAAUUUAUUUAAAAACAACACACCGCGCCGAAAUUCAAUUUUUUGGAGAGUUUCACGCAGCCAUGUUCAAUUUGAUCAUGAUGUUGUACGGGAGGAAGGGGCGAAAGAGAGUUACUCGAAAAGGAGAAGCAUGAUAAACUUUGGAUGGAAUUUAUGUUUUAACAGAAGAUGAAGACAUUUACGACCCUGUUUAGCGGUAGGAACAAUUUGCAGUGUGGACUGUGCCUGAGACGAUUCCCCAUAACGCCGGCUAUGUAGACAGCUUGUGAAAAUGGAAUCCAAAUGCUCACAAGAAAUGACAAAAGCAGUAUGAAGAUUAACACAACGAAAUUGUGCCAGAAAAGUUUGAAGUAGCUAUGGGAAUGAUCAACAUUGAACUUGCUGAGGCUCUCUUCCUGAAAGUGACUUGACCAGAUAUUUGGCUACCCAGUAUGAGUAUCUUUCUGCUACAUUAAAUAAAAUAUCGUGGAGGAACACGAAGAAAAGGGCUGCGCACCUCAACAUAUUCAAGGUCAAGCAGAGAAAAGGGCACCUCAACAUGUUCAAGGUCAAGCAGAAAUUAGGAGCUAGGUGUGCUUCUCCAGAGCUGAAAACUUCUUGGCAUGAAGAGAAGAAGAAGCAAGAAAAAGCAGUUUUAAAUAUUGAUUACGUCUUCAUAGUACAAAAAAUGAUUCUAAAGAUAAUACUAUCUAUGAAAUUAGAAAGCUGAAGUUGCGUUCUGAUGAAUGUGAGAAUGUCUUCAAAGAACAGGACACCAAAAGUGCCAUUCUCAAAUCAAAGCACUCUAAAAGGCAGAGCAUAAGAAGAACUAGGACAAAUAAAGAAUCUAAAAGAGUCAAACCUAUGGAUGUAUUAAUUGAACAGAGAUGGGCUAUUAGAGAUGAAAUAUCUGAGUUGCUACUGUUUUGCACAAAUUCAAUGUUAGAUAAGAAAAAUAUACCUAGUGUUGUAUUUUUGACAGUGAAAGUUUUUUCUUAUGCUUGAUUACAGAUUAAAACUGUUAUGUAUUUUAUUGUUUAAACAUUUAUUGGUUUGUUGUGUAAUCUGCAAUCACAUACAUUUUAAUCUUGAUUUAUAUAUCACAUAUAUGUACAAGUCUAACUUAAAUAAUAAGUGCAUGGACAUUAUUGUGGAAAAAAUAAGACAAUCAUGAUCAAGGGUAGUCUGAAAGAGCUUUGCUGGCAGUAAGUUGCAGAUCUUGAUACCCAAGUAAGAGAAAGGUGGCGUCUCUGACCGAUCCUUUUGCUGUUGCUUGUGGGCGAGUGAGGCUUCUCUGUCAGUGGCUUAGUGAGUCAUAGAUGUAAAAAAUAGAAUAGGCAAAUGAGGUAGAGACAUUUCUGAGUAAAAAAGGGGUGAAUUGUGAUUUUAAUAAAUAUUACAAUUGAUAUUGCAAGAGUAAUGAGAAUUGCAAGAGUAAAAUAUUAAUUUGUUUCCUUCCAUUUGAAGUAAGAGAGUUUAUGAAUUAUGAGUUAUGGAAUUGUAAUUAAGGCUUAAAAAAUUGUUAAAUAUACUUUUACAUAUGUUUAUACAGGACUUUUAUAUGUGCAUGUUUCAGAGCUCAUUUUUGAUAUUUUAAAGCAAAGUUGAAAAUAUCACUAUUGAAAUGUUUUGCAUUCCAAUGUAACGUUGAUUUAAUGAGGAUAUGUUAUAUUACAAUCAUCAAGCAAUAAACCUAGCAGUUGGAACAGAAAUGAGCUACAUGUAUUGUAAACAAAUUUAAGCUGCUAUUGUUUUGUGUAAUUGUGAUACUUUUUCCUUAAUUUGAAUUGACAUAACCAAAUGAUAUAAAGGGUUUUUUUGGGUCUUGUAUUUUUCACAGUCAACAUUAAGUAUUUUUCAAGUUGAACUUGGAUAAUUAGUGCAUGGACAUCUAUUGUUGAAAUACUUGGGAAACAAUAUAAGGGUGGUCUAAAAGAGCUUUGCUGGCAGUAAGUUGCAGAUCUUGAUACCCAAGCAAGAGAAAGGUGGUGUCUCUGACCGAUCCUUUUGCUGUUGCUUGUGGGCGAGUGAGGCUUCUCUGUUAGUGGCUUAGUGUGUCUUAUUAAAAUGUACAUGUAAAAAGAAUGGACAACUUUUAUUGGCAACUUUUAUUCUUUUUAUGCAAAGUAUGAUAUAAUUUAUUGUGGGAAAUUGAAAAGCCAUUUACAACCCAUGCAGAAGUUUUAAUAGGGGCAGUUUCAGUCAGAUUUUGCAGUCUUUUGGAGUCCAGAAUGACUACAUUUUUUACCUGUUGUGUUUUGAUUUAUUGCGGAUUUGAAUUUUACAUACAAUACUAUUCUUAUAUUAUUUAUAAUUACUUCAGUAUAUUACUUACUACUAGUAUGUAGAAAUUUACUCCAUUAUAAUUGAGCUACAAUCAUGAUUGUAAAUUUUUUAAUUCUGACUUUUAGGCCUAAAUUUGAAAUAUUUUGUACUUUGUUAGAACUCAUUGUUUGUACACUAUUGAGAUAACAUCUAAUAAAAUUGAAUGAGAAAUGGAUUUGUGUAAGAUUGUAAAAUACUUGCCAAAAAACCCACAAUUGUAAACCAUACAAAUUAUUGAUGGAAUAAAUGUAAAAUAAAAAUAUUAUGCAAUAAUAUAAUAAUGUUAAAUUUCAUCAAAUACAACCUUAAAUCUUAAUUAUAUGGGAAGGUUUAAUCCGUACAUUUUCAUCACAUAUACAAGAGAUUUAAUAUUAGUUUAUGAAAGAAUAAAAUUUGUACGUAUUAGUAAGUUUACAAUUCUCCGUAUAUAACUUAAUUUUUGGAAGUAUUAUAAAGUAAAGUGUGAAUUUAACAAAAAAUAAUGAGGUAAAGAUCUACGUUAAAUUUUAUUAAACGAACAAAUUUAAUGUGACCGUAAAACUUAAUUUUAUGGCCAUGUUUAAUAAUAAUUAUACGUUUUGUAUAUUAGAGGUAUAAUAAUUGUUUACGGCAGACUAAAAUCCGAACGUAUUAGUAAGUUUACAAUUUUCCAAACUUUAUUAAAUUUGUUCUUUUAAUUUUUCAUUAAACUCGUAUUAAAUGCUAAUUAUUUUCUAACAUUUACGAUCCCACAAUAUGUUAUAAUAUGCAUUUAAACAUUAAAUAAUCGCAGCAUUUAAAUCACAUUUAAGGUAAAAUUAAACCCGA